CAAAGGUAGCAUAAUCAUUUGGGGUUUAAUUGGAACCUAGAAUGAAUGGUUGGACAAAGGAAAAGCUGUCUCUAUAGUAGAAGUUGAAGUUUACUUUUAAGUGAAAAGGCUUAAAUAUUUCAGAGGGACGAUAAGACCCUAUAAAGCUUUAUAGAUAACUUAAAUUUUAUUGAUGUAGUAGUAAAGACUAAGUUUAAUUAUUUUAUUUUGUUGGGGCGACAUAGGUAUAAUUGAAAGUAACUGCUAAAAUAAAAGUUCUGUUAUAAGAGAAUUACUAAUAAUGAUCCUUUUUAGAGAUUGAAAAACUAAGUUACUUUAGGGAUAACAGCGUUAUUUCUUUUGAGAGUUCAUAUCGAAAAAGAAGAUUGCGACCUCGAUGUUGAAUUAAAAUGUCUAUAUAAUGAAGGUGUUAUGUAAGAGGGUCUGUUCGACCUUUGAAAUUUUACAUGAUUUGAGUU
rnacentral:rRNA from 1 species